rnacentral:rRNA from 1 species
AGCAGCCGCGGUAAUUCCAGCUCCAAUAGCGUAUAUUAAAGUUGUUGCAGUUAAAAAGCUCGUAGUUGAAUUUCAGGCCUGGCUGGACGGUCCGCCCUUCGGGUGAGUACUGUCUGUGGUCGGGUCCUACCUUCUGGCGAAGCGUCAUGGCCUUAACCGGCCGUGGCGGGGAACCAGGACUUUUACUGUGAAAAAUUAGAGUGUUCAAAGCAGGCAAUCGCUUGGAUACAUUAGCAUGGAAUAAUGGAAUAGGACAAUGGUUCUAUUUGUUGGUUUCUAGGACCGUUGUAAUGAUUAAUAGGGAUAGUUGGGGGCAUUAGUAUUCAAUUGUCAGAGGUGAAAUUCUUGGAUUUAUUGAAGACUAACUACUACGAAAGCAUUUGCCAAGGAUGUUUUCAUUAAUCAAGAACGAAAGUUAGGGGAUCGAAGCGAUCAGAUACCGUCGUAGUCUUAACCA